UACGUAGGCAGCAAGCGUUGUUCGGAGUUACUGGGCGUAAAGGGUGCGUAGGCGGCUUUUAAGUUUGGUGUGAAAUCUCCCGGCUCAACUGGGAGGGUGCGCCGAAUACUGAGAAGCUAGAGUGUGGGAGAGGAAAGUGGAAUUCCUGGUGUAGCGGUGGAAUGCGCAGAUAUCAGGAGGAACACCGGUGGCGAAGGCGGUCUCUGGGCAUUACCUGACGGCUGAGGAGCGAAAGUGUGGGGAGCGAACAGG
rnacentral:rRNA from 1 species